AGUUGGAUAAGGCACUCUGUUUUGUGGAUUCUCUAAAUAAGGACUUUAUCCAUAGAG
rnacentral:pre_miRNA from 1 species